rnacentral:lncRNA from 1 species
UACCUUAUCUUCUUGUGCCAUAAAGCAAAAGUUAGUUACCUCUUGUAGUUCUUUGGAGCUAAUAUCAUCAUUAUUGCUCCUAGCUUUCAUUUUCUUGCUUGACUCUUCCUUGGUCAAAACUUUCUUCCUUUUUAUCUCUUUCUUUCUUUCUUCUUGCUUCCUCUUCUUCUUUGUCUUUAGGAAGCUUUUGAAUUUUUUUGUUGUUCUUUCUUCCUCGAGUCGACUCGGGUUUACUUGGAGUC